rnacentral:rRNA from 1 species
GAUGAACGCUAGCGGCAGGCUUAACACAUGCAAGUCGAGGGGUAACAGGGAAGAGCUUGCUUUUCCGCUGACGACCGGCGCACGGGUGAGUAACGCGUAUAGAACCUACCUUUUACAGGGGAAUAGCCCAGAGAAAUUUGGAUUAAUGCCCUAUAGUAUUAUUGAAUGGCAUCAUUUAGUAAUUAAACAUUUAUGGGUAAAAGAUGGCUAUGCGUUCUAUUAGCUAGAUGGUAAGGUAACGGCUUACCAUGGCAACGAUAGAUAGGGGUCCUGAGAGGGAGAUCCCCCACACUGGUACUGAGACACGGACCAGACUCCUACGGGAGGCAGCAGUGAGGAAUAUUGGACAAUGGAGGCAACUCUGAUCCAGCCAUGCCGCGUGCAGGAAGACGGCCCUAUGGGUUGUAAACUGCUUUUAUACGGGAAGAAACCCAACUACGUGUAGUUGGCUGACGGUACCGUAAGAAUAAGCACCGGCUAACUCCGUGCCAGCAGCCGCGGUAAUACGGAGGGUGCAAGCGUUAUCCGGAAUCAUUGGGUUUAAAGGGUCCGUAGGCGGGCUAAUAAGUCAGGGGUGAAAUCCAACAGCUUAACUGUUGAACUGCCUUUGAUACUGUUAGUCUUGAAUUAUAUGGAAGUAGAUAGAAUGUGUAGUGUAGCGGUGAAAUGCUUAGAGAUUACACAGAAUACCGAUUGCGAAGGCAGUCUACUACGUAUAUAUUG